UAACAUUUAUUUCUGCAUUCGGUAUCAAGUACAUAAGUGCAAAUAUUCAGAGUCCAUAAUUAAGUCCAUUAGGAACUACAGAGAAUGUAAUACAAAUCGUAAUAAAUUGAACAUGCUGGAACUUUCCAGUUACCAUACAUGUAAAUCAGCCUGUCAAUCCUUUACGACAAAAGUACUGGGUUUUGUGUUUUUUCUUUUCUUUUUUUUUUUUUUUUUGAUUUAUACAAAACUGAUUACCAUAAGUACCGAUUACUGUUUAUUUUAUUUGUGCUGGAAAACACUAAAACAUCAGUCUACAAUUCUAUAUAGUUAAUAAAGAUGAAUCCAACCAGCAACCCAGUGACGUAGAAGCAAUUUUAACUAUUGCAUCAAGUGCGCUAAGCAGGAAAGCCCCUAGCCACAUGUAACAUUAAAAGUUAUAGAAGCAAUGCCAAUAGAAGAAGGAAAAACACUAAAAAAAAAA